rnacentral:rRNA from 1 species
AAUGCAUGCGGGCUGGAUCCCUCGGGGUUACAGCCUUGCUGAAUUAUUCACCCUUGUCUUUUGCGUACUUCUUGUUUCCUUGGUGGGUUCGCCCACCACUAGGACAAACAUAAACCUUUUGUAAUUGCAAUCAGCGUCAGUAACAAAUUAAUAAUUACAACUUUCAACAACGGAUCUCUUGGUUCUGGCAUCGAUGAAGAACGCAGCGAAAUGCGAUAAGUAGUGUGAAUUGCAGAAUUCAGUGAAUCAUCGAAUCUUUGAACGCACAUUGCGCCCUUUGGUAUUCCAAAGGGCAUGCCUGUUCGAGCGUCAUUUGUACCCUCAAGCUUUGCUUGGUGUUGGGCGUCUUGUCUCUAGCUUUGCUGGAGACUCGCCUUAAAGUAAUUGGCAGCCGGCCUACUGGUUUCGGAGCGCAGCACAAGUCGCACUCUCUAUCAGCAAAGGUCUAGCAUCCAUUAAGCCUUUUUUCAACUUUUGACCUCGGAUCAGGUAGGGAUACCCGCUGAACUUAAGCAUAUCAAAAACCGGGGGGGAAAA